UGUAGCUGUAGAUGAUAGCUUUAUUUGAAGCUGUCUUAGAGAAGCUCUCUGCCCACAUAACUUGCCAUAUUCUGACGCACUUAGAGCAAUAAAAUAUCUGGAGCGUUUCUGUUCCCUAGUGGGCUGUGUUUUCAAAAUUGAGACAAUACUAAUAUUUAAGAAAAUAAAUCUUACAUGUGACAGAAUUUUAAUAAAAGUUACUUGGACUUGGAUUUGACUAGUGCAAAACGAAAUCUUUCAUGGUACAGAUACUCUCAGGGAGGGUAUGAAACUGUAAAUGUUAUUCAGAAAAGCUUCAUGCAGCAGUAGUAGGAAUAGGGUUAGGUUACUCAGAUACUGGAGGGAUCUCAGUGGAAGAGAUGUGACGGUUAACAAAAACAAGGUGCUAUUUUUUUCCAGGUGGGGAAGCAGGCAUCCGCAGUUGUUAGGUCUUACCCUUUCCAGGGGCCCAGACUUCCUCACCAAGCCUGUAGGAAGCGGGAUGUUUGUGAUUUGAAGGCCCUGUCCUUCCAAUGGCGGCCGAAGCCGGAGUCCCAUUGAGCCACAGAGACGUCCUGACCCGAUUUGCAGGUUGCUGCUCUGAUUUGGUCCCACAAGAUCUCCAGGAGGUCAGUGCAAGUUCAGGUGGGGACUGGCCAGAAGAGAGAAGGAUGGCUGGGGUUGAAGAGGAUAUAAUCCUGUUUCCCUCAUCCCGUCUCUGGUGCACCCUGUGGGUCCUGGGAUUUCGGAGCAGAAGCAUCUCUGGCCUGCUUCAUCACCACUGUGGCGCCAGGGAGUUCAUCCCUGUCCGUCUCUAUGAGCCCGCGUGCAGCGGUGAGAGUGGAGCGUCACAGGCGAGAGGGCAAAGGCAGAACAAGGCAGAAGCUGAAGAAAUCUGACUGAGGACCAAGAUUCAGGCUAUGGACAGUGACAUUAAUUAACUUCAGAGUUCCCUUUGCUGGCAAUGGGAAUUUUGGGGGUAAAGACUGUGCUCCCAAGGGUCAGUGAGACCUGAGCAGCCUGGUGUUGAUGCAGCGGUUGGUUUUGUGCACUCCAGGCAUGCAGGGCAAAGAGCUGGCAUGGACCUUCCUGGUCUUGAAGCAUGGCACCUCUCGUGGAGCCCUCCCCAGGCAAAAAGGGAUUUUAUCCUCCAAUGGUAAGAGUCACAAAUGACGAACUCUCAGAAUUUUAAUGUCACACCUGGUAGCACAUCCCUUAAAGGAGGAAGCAGAGAGAGACAAAUUAAAGGGCAAUGUUUAAGAUCAGGUUGUUCUUUUUCCCUUUUUCUCUCUUUUUUUGCCUUUUUCUUUCCCCUGUUAAAGGGCUGACAUUUGCAGCACCAUACGUCAAGACUUCUAAAAAGCACUGGAGUUUAAAAUGGCUUCAUAAUUUCCAGGUCAUUUGUACUGCGUUUCCUUUCCUGAUCAUUUAUUCUACUUCGCUUGCUUAAAAUAUAAUUCAUUAAAAGGAAGGGGUUCCAGGGUAAUUUAAUUUAGCAGAGGUCUAAUGGAGAGCAAAAAUGUGUUUUCUCCCCACUGAACUUCACCCAAACCUGACAGGCUUGGCAGAAGGGUGGCUCGAGGCCCUGGAU
rnacentral:lncRNA from 1 species